AUUGAACGCUGGCGGAAUGCUUUACACAUGCAAGUCGGGCGGCAGCACGGGGGCAACCCUGGCGGCGAGCGGCGAACGGGUGAGUAACACAUCGGAACGUACCCUGUCGUGGGGGAUAACGAAUCGAAAGAUUCGCUAAUACCGCAUACGACCUGAGGGUGAAAGCGGGGGAUCGCAAGACCUCGCGCGAGAGGAGCGGCCGAUGGCGGAUUAGCUAGUUGGUGGGGUAAAGGCCCACCAAGGCGACGAUCCCGUAGCGGGUCUGAGAGGACGGCCCGCCACACUGGGACUGAGACACGGCCCAGACUCCUACGGGAGGCAGCAGUGGGGAAUUUUGGACAAUGGGGGCAACCCUGAUCCAGCCAUUCCGCGUGAGUGAAGAAGG
rnacentral:rRNA from 1 species